CAAGCAAGGAACAAGUCUGAAAUCAUGCUUUUCGUUUCUCCAAUGUCUGUGUUCAGUCACCAGUUGGCCAACAUCAAUUAAUAUCUACUCACCUGAUAUGAGAAGACAAUGAUAUUUUUAGAACAGAGGUGCCUCAUAGCAUGACACUGUAUCUGGUACAAUAGGUAACGUUAGGUUACUGUUUGACAAGAGUGACAACACAUAUACAGGUAUUUUCAACAUGAACAGGACAACUAACCUAUUGUUUGCUGACCACCAGCUGUUUAACUAGCUAGCUACCUAACUAGCUUCAUAUCACAUAAGACAUUUAUAAAUUAAGCAAACUAGUCGUAAUGCUAGCCAUGCAAGACAACUACAAUGGCAACUGUGGAAUUAUAGCUAACCUUCGAAAGUGAAUUCAAUGAACUAACGUUAGGUUGCCAAUCACCAGAAAUGUGGCAUGUUUGCUAGUAGCUACCAUAAUCAUAACGUUACAAUACAUCUAAACACGCCUAAGUUACUGCCUUGCAUACUUUUCCAGCUGACAGCUAGGGUUACUGAACGGGCAUUCUAUGCAUGGCUUGCUGUCUUGUUAACUACUCGUUCGUGAGUAACAGAUAAGCUAAAUUAGAUUAAAUAUACUGGCCAAUAAUGGCUAGCUAACUUAAAAAAAAUGCAAUCAUACGAUUCCAUGACCUAGGUGUUGAAUUCACUUUGUCUUUACAACGAAAAACAUGUCCCCGCUUCAUAAGAAUAUGCAAACGUUUAUGAAGGUGCAACAGUAAAGGAAGGAUAUACCAGGAUUCUGAUAAUUACAUUUUUUGCUUUCAAUCGGCAACGAUACCAUCAGCUAAGUUAGCGAUGGCUAACCCUACCCGCGAUUAAUUUGUGGUGAUGUCAUGACAUCACUCUUUGCUAACCAACGCUUGCCGUUACCAUACUAGCUGGGGUUAAUUCGACCUAAUUAGACAGUAGUACACUGACUUGAUCAAAUAGACAUAUGACAACAGUGGUCAUAACGACAAUGAUGGAUACUCUCACCAAAUAACUAGUUAGCAAGCGGGCUAGCUCGCUGGCAAACGUUAGAGUCCGCGAUCUGAUGCAAGUUAACUAGCUAGCGAGCUAGUAAGGUUGCUAUCCUUAGCGAGCUUGCUAAACAUCGCUUGCCAAUAUUACGGUUAGCGUUUAAUUCGGGCAUGACUUGACAACCAAUAUCUUACUUCAAAUCUGGAUUACAGGUACACGGAGAGAAAAAAAGUAACCAAAUGUGUAUAUUAAAUCUGCGUUGAGCUACCUGGGCAGCCACAAAGCUGGUGACAAAUCUGUCGAUAUCAUCUGGGCAGCAGCUUGCUAGCCAUCAUAGCUUGCUCAGUUGUCAGCUAGCUGGCGAAUUUAGUGAUGACAAACCAACACCGCAAACAUAACUAACGACCCAGACCAUUAACAUCUACCAGUUAAUCACACAACGAAUUUGUGAGAAAUAUUAGAUUUUUUUUUUCAAACACUCACCUUUGAUGGUACGAUCUUCAUUUAAAGUGCCAGAACCAAUAUGGUGAAGGAACUUAUCCAGCUUCUCUAUCGUUACUUCCAAUGAGACACCCAAAAUGUCGAACCACCUAGCUAGCUAGGUAUUUAAAGAUAAUACCCUGUCCUUGCACUAACACCAACUAAAAAUUGGCCUGCCAGGUUAAAUCUACUAAUACCAAAAUUCCCUCUGCGACAGUCAUCCUUAGUUAUUGGUCCAACUUCUAAACAGUAGCUACCAUCACCUGAAUGCAAGCUAGCCAGCCAGUUCAGCUAGCCUGCUAGUUUGCUCGGUGACUUUAGCUAACAAACGUGGCUAACUAGCUUGCUAGCUAGCAAGCUAGCCAGCUGUCUAUUAUACCGUUCGUAAAACACAUUCGGAUUGUUCGUUUUAGAGAAAAUUGAAUCCAGACAAUACUCCUACUUGUCAUUAACUAUAAUCGGCGACGCACACUAUUCAAAAAACAUUAGAAAUGAUAAUACUACCGUCAGAUAUAAGCCUUAGUUUGGACAAGAUUUUAUGUCAAUUUUCACAAAAUGGCGCGCGUUCCAAACCUGCGCAGCGAACCGGCCCGGUAGACCCGAGACACGGACAACUAUGUUAGUUCGGCGCCGCCUAAAGAUUGAACAACUGUGCUAUAUCGUUCGACUCUUAAUUUUCUCAAUCCGAUCCAGUCGACGCAUUGCUUUCAAGACAAUUGUCACUGGUAUAAAAAAUGACUGCAUUAUUCCGGCGGGAAGAGAAAACAUUUGAAAAGGUAAAAAAAAACGCUACUGACAAAAUGGCGACAGCCUGGACUGUUACCAUGACAACUGUCAAUCAAACUCUGGAGUUCCCGGAUGCAUCAAUGACGAGUAAAGAACAACGUAGUCUGGUGUCAUAAUCUGUCAAUCAACAAAUGUAACAGUUUUCACGUCAUGUAAAUAAGAUAUUAUUUUAUUGCAGUGUAGCCGUGAAGUUUCAUAUUCCAGAGCAAAUAAAUCCUUGGAAAGGACCGAAUAUUAUGUACCAAGUUUUUAUAGGACAAAAUAAAAAAAAAGUAAUUUUGCUCACUAGGCCUGCUACAUUUCUCUUUCAAGGGCGAUUGACAGAGUAUGUGAGUGCCCUGAGGACUGAGAGGUGGCUAGCAGCUGCAGCAGCAUGUCUGAGGAACACUGUGAGGGCCGGUGGAGAACAUGUUCCUGAGGUGGAGAACAUGUUCAUGAGGUGGAGAACAUGUUCCUGAGGUGGAGAACAUGUUCAUGAGGAACACUGAGAGGGCCGGUGGAGAACAUGUUCCUGAGGAACACUGAGAGGGCCGGUGGAGAACAUGUUCCUGAGGAACACUGAGAGGGCC
ensembl:lncRNA